rnacentral:rRNA from 1 species
UCUGGUUGAUCCUGCCAGUAGUCAUAUGCUUGUCUCAAAGAUUAAGCCAUGCAUGUCUAAGUACAUACCACAUUAGGUGAAACCGCGAACGGCUCAUUAAAUCAGUUACGGUUCCUUAGAUAUUGAAAUCUACAUGGAUAACUGUGGUAAUUCUAGAGCUAAUACAUGCACAAAAGCCUCGACUUUCGGGAAGAGGCGCAUUUAUUAGACCAAGACCAAUGGGGCUUCGGCUCCUUUGUGAUGGUGACUCUGAAUAACUAAGCUAAUCGCAUGGCCUCCGUGCCGGCGAUGAAUCUUUCAAGUGUCUGCCUUAUCAACUGUCGACGGUAGGUUAUGCGCCUACCGUGGUUGUAACGGGUAACGGGGAAUCAGGGUUCGAUUCCGGAGAGGGAGCCUGAGAAACGGCUACCACAUCCAAGGAAGGCAGCAGUCACGCAAAUUACCCACUCCCAGCACGGGGAGGUAGUGACGAAAAAUAACAAUACGGGACUCGAAUGAGGCCCCGUAAUUGGAAUGAGAACAACCUAAAUCCCUUAACGAGGAUCUAUUGGAGGGCAAGUCUGGUGCCAGCAGCCGCGGUAAUUCCAGCUCCAAUAGCAUAUAUUAAAGUUGUUGCGGUAAAAAAGCUCGUAGUUGGACAUUUUGCCAAGCCGUCUCCUGAUGCUCUUCACCGAGUGUCUUGAGCGAUUGGUAUGUUUACUUUGAAAAAAUUAGAGUGCUCAAAGCAGGCGUUACGCCCGAAUAAUCUUGCAUGGAAUAAUAGAAUAGGACCUCGGUUCUAUUUUGUUGGUCUUCGGAACCCGAGGUAAUGAUUAAGAGGGACAGACGGGGGCAUUCGUAUUGCGGCGCUAGAGGUGAAAUUCUUGGACCGUCGCAAGACGAACUACAGCGAAAGCAUUUCCAAGAAUGUUUUCAUUAAUCAAGAACGAAAGUUAGAGGUUCGAAGGCGAUCAGAUACCGCCCUAGUUCUAACCAUAAACGAUGCCAACCAUCGAUCAGCCUGAGUUCCUACAAUGACUCGGCUGGCAGCUUCCGGGAAACCAAAGUUUUUCGGUUCCGGGGGAAGUAUGGUUGCAAAGCUGAAACUUAAAGGAAUUGACGGAAGGGCACCACCAGGAGUGGAGCCUGCGGCUUAAUUUGACCCAACACGGGAAAACUCACCCGGCCCGGACACUGGAAGGAUUGACAGAUUGAGAGCUCUUUCUUGAUUCAGUGGGUGGUGGUGCAUGGCCGUUCUUAGUUGGUGGAGCGAUUUGUCUGGUUAAUUCCGAUAACGAACGAGACUCUAGCCUACUAAAUAGACUGCCGACUCAUUUGCGUCGGCAGGACUUCUUAGAGGGACUGGCGGCGACUCAGCCGCACGAAAGAGAGCAUAACAGGUCUGUGAUGCCCUUAGAUGUCCGGGGCCGCACGCGCGCUACACUGAAGUGAUCAGCGUGCUUGAGUUCUUGCUCCGUCAGGAGUGAGUAACCCCUUGAACCUUCUUCGUGAUAGGGAUAGAGCAUUGUAAUUAUUGCUCUUGAACGAGGAAUUCCCAGUAAGCGCGAGUCAUUAGCUUGCGUUGAUUACGUCCCUGCCCUUUGUACACACCGCCCGUCGCUACUACCGAUUGAAUGAUUUAGUGAGGUCUUCGGACCGACCGGCGCAGCUGCCUUCGGGUGGCAGCGCUGCGUUGGAAAGAUGCCCAAACUUGAUCAUUUAGAGGAAGUAAAAGUCCUAACAAGGUU